UACGUAGGGUGCAAGCGUUAAUCGGAAUUACUGGGCGUAAAGCGUGCGCAGGCGGUUUUGUAAGUCUGAUGUGAAAUCCCCGGGCUCAACCUGGGAAUUGCAUUGGAGACUGCAAGGCUAGAAUCUGGCAGAGGGGGGUAGAAUUCCACGUGUAGCAGUGAAAUGCGUAGAGAUGUGGAGGAACACCGAUGGCGAAGGCAGCCCCCUGGGUCAAGAUUGACGCUCAUGCACGCAAAGCGUGGGGAGCAACAAGGUUAGAAACCCCGAGU
rnacentral:rRNA from 1 species